CUGAUACAAAACGCCAGCUGGAAUGCGGCGUUUCAGAAAGACAUCGCUGAAGGAUGCGGCUGCGGCCGAUUAGGUAGACGGUGGGGUAACGGCCCACCGUGCCAGUAAUCGGUACGGGUGAUGAGAGUCAGAGCCCGGAGACGGAAUCUGAGACAAGAUUCCGGGCCCUACGGGGCGCAGCAGGCGCGAAACCUUUACACUGCACGGAAGUGCGAUAGGGGAAUCCCAAGUGCGAGGGCAUAUUAGCCCUCGCUUUUCUCGACUGUAAGGUGGUCGACGAAUAAGAGCUGGGCAAGACCGGUGCCAGCCGCCGCGGUAAUACCGGCAGCUCAAGUGAUGUCCCAUAUUAUUGGGCCUAAAGCGUCCGUAGCU
rnacentral:rRNA from 1 species